rnacentral:rRNA from 1 species
UUAAGGGCGCACGGUGGAUGCCUUGGCACUAGAAGCCGAUGAAGGACGUUACUAACGACGAUAUGCUUUGGGGAGCUGUAAGUAAGCUUUGAUCCAGAGAUUUCCGAAUGGGGAAACCCAGCAUGAGUUAUGUCAUGUUAUCGAUAUGUGAAUACAUAGCAUAUCAGAAGGCACACCCGGAGAACUGAAACAUCUUAGUACCCGGAGGAAGAGAAAGAAAAUUCGAUUCCCUUAGUAGCGGCGAGCGAAACGGGAAGAGCCCAAACCAACAAGCUUGCUUGUUGGGGUUGUAGGACACUCUAUACGGAGUUACAAAGGACGACAUUAGACGAAUCAUCUG